rnacentral:rRNA from 1 species
CCUCUUAGCGGGGGAUAACUAUUGGAAACGAUAGCUAAUACCGCAUAAAAGUCGAUAUCGCAUGAUAUUGAUUUGAAAGGUGCAAUUGCAUCACUAAGAGAUGGAUCUGCGUUGUAUUAGCUAGUUGGUGAGGUAACGGCUCACCAAGGCGACGAUACAUAGCCGACCUGAGAGGGUGAUCGGCCACACUGGGACUGAGACACGGCCCAG